CAGGGAGAGGUCCCGCCCGAGAUGGGAGGGGAGGGGUAAGGGAGAGAGGCCCCCGCCCGAGAUGGGAAGGGAGCGCGCAAGGAGAGGUCCCCCCAGCCCCGGGGGUGGAGCAAGCGCAGGGAGAGGCUCCCGCCCGAGAUGGGAGGGGAGGGGGUAUAGAGAGAGGCUCCCGCCCGAGAUGGGAAGGGAGCGCGCAAGGAGAGGUCCCCCCAGCCCCGGGGGUGGAGCAAGCGCAGGGAGAGGCUCCCGCCCGAGAUGGGAGAUGGGAGGGGAGGGGGUAUAGAGAGAGGCUCCCGCCCGAGAUGGGAGGAAGGCCACGGGUGGGGGGGGGGCACAGAGACCCGGGCCCGAGGUGAGGAGGGGGACUCGAGGAGCCGGAGAGCCUUGCCUCCAAAUAGGAGAAGCUCCAGGUCUUGAGGUUCCUGGCGCGGUGGGGCCCCCGGACAUAAGCAAGUAUUUCCUUUAGACCAGUCGUUUUUCAUCUCCGAGCCUCAGUUUCUUCAUCUCUGAAAUGGAUCUUUAAACCCGCCUCUCCUCAGUCCAAAAGAACGUUCUGGGAAGGGAGGGCCUGGGCUAACACACACCUGAGGGAAUUUGAACCCUCCCUCAGGGGGGUCUCCCUGCCUUCCAAAGCUUGCCCUUCCCAUCUCGGGCUAGUUGUGAUCGGUCAGAGCUUUCUCGGCCCUAAAGCCCAAAGCUGCUUCUCUGGAGCUCCCGCCAAACCUGCACAGCUCUGAAGCCCCUGGGCAGCGGGCUGGGGGCCACAGCAUGUGGCCUAGGCAGUAUUUAAAGAUAGGGACUGGUGGUUUCAUUACUGUCAGACACAUAGAAAUUGAUAUAGCCACAUAUUGAUUUAGAAAACCGCACCUUAACAUAUUUUAUUAAACAUUUCCCAAUUACAUUUUUGUCAUAAAUAAUAUAAAUACAUUUUAAAAAUAUUCAUUAGUUAUAUUGCUUUAAUAGUUUCUUUCUAUCCUUUGUCUCUUGUGAGUUAGGUAUCAAAACCAUAGUUAUCUCUCUUUUUUAAAAUUAGAACUUUUUAUUUUCAAAACAUGCACCCAUCAUUUUUCAUCAUUGACCCUUGCAUAGCCUUGUGUUCCAAAUUUUCCCCUCCUUCCCCUCUCACUCCCUCCUCUAGAUGGCAACAAAUCCAAUAUAUGUCAUAAUGUUAAAAUAUAUGUUAAAUCCAAUAUAUGUAAACAUUUAUGCAAUUAUCUUGCACAAGAAAAAUCAGAUUAAAAAGGAAAGAAAAUGAAUAAAAAACCAAAAUGUAAUCAAACAACAAAAAGAGUGAGAAUACUAUGUUGUGAUCCACACUUAGUUCCCCCAGUCCUCUCUCUGGGUGUAGAUGGCUCUUUUCAUCACAACAUCAUUGAAACUGGCCUCAAUCAUCUCAUUAUAGGAAAGAGUCAUCCCAAUUUUAAUCCGGAAGUUUCAUUGGCAGCCCUGCUAUGGGGAACUCCCAGAUGAGGAAACAACCUGUUGGAUUCAGAUGGCACCUUCUCUGAAACUUGGGGUCAUAGAGCAUUGAGAAGUUCGAUGAAUUACUCAGGGUUAGGCAACCAGUUUGUAUCAGAAGGGAGACUUAAAUCCAGCUCUUUUAAGUCCAAGUCUCCAUCUGCCAUUUCCAUAUACUAGGUAAUUUUUUUUUUUUUUUUUCAGAGAAAGGCACCAAUGCAUGGGGGAAAGAGGAUCAAAGUCUCAGCCUUUGAACUGCAAUUUGAAGGAUAAUGGGGAUCCUACGGUUUUAACUGAGGGAAUGCAUUGCAGGCAUGGAAAUAGGAAAUAAAAUUGUGAGAAAAAGGCAUAAAGAUCCAGUUGGUUGCUCUGUAGAAUGCAUCUGGAGCCAAGUAGAAAAAAAAAAAAAAAUCAAUUCUCUUGUACUUUAGAUUGUCUCAUCAUAUAACAACUUCCCUAGUUCCUUCACUUCAUCCAAAUAGCAUGAACUCUUGGUCCCAUUUCUGGUCACCCUCCUCUGGAUGUUCAAAUAUGGCAUCUAAAACUGAGUACAAACACCUCAGAAGUGGAGUGGCUAAGAAAAAUAUAGCAGUACUGCCACCUCUCUUGUUCUGAAUGCUACCUCACUAAAGCCUCAGAUCGCCUUAGCUUUCUGGCUUGCUGUGCCAUAUCAAACAUAUUCGGCUUGCAGUCCACAAAAACCUCCAUGUCUUCAAAUGAACUGCUCUACAGCCACACUUAUCACUGUGUACUAAAAGCUCAUUUUUAUUUAUUUAUUUUUGCCCAGGGAAGCCUUUAUCUUUACUGUUAUUCAUUUUUAUUGCAUUUGAUUUAGCCCUCUUCUAUCUGGUCAAAGUCCUUUUGAACCUGAUUGUGAUCUAAUCUGUUCAUUAUUUUAGUUUUGUGUAAUCGGCAAAUUCGAUAAGCAGGCCAUCUGCUUGUCCAUAUUAUUAAGAAGUAAAUGGUAGGACGUGUCCAAACACUGGGAGACUUCCCAAGUUGACACUGAACCAAAAUGAUAGCACUGUGUCUGGCCAAUUUGGCCAGAAGAAUAACACGGGAGACUUAAGAUGUGUUUUCCCUAAACUUAGUAGAAAACUACCUAUUCCCACAUCCAGAAGAAAUGAGAUUAAGUUGCCAUGACCCACUGGUGAAGCCAUACUGGCUCUUGGGAAUUGCUCCUUCCGUUUCGAAAUGUUAUUAUCCGUGUUUUUAAUAACACAGCCUAGAUUAUCCCCAAGGACCCUUUGGGGCUGGACAUUCUAAGAAAUAACUCAUGUUUUGUUUAACAUUUAUUGGAUUACUGGCCAUCUAGGGGAGGGGGUGCGGAAGGAGGGGAAAAUUUGGAACACAAGGUUUUGCAGGGGUCAAUGUUGAAAAAUGACCUGUACGUAUGUUUUAAAAAUAUAAAUCUUUAAUAAGAAAAAAAAGAAAUAACUCAUGGUUUUAUAGCCAAGGCACUUUGCAUACAUUACUUUAUUUGAUCUUCACAGCUUCACAUUUUACAGCUAAGGAAACAGGCUGAGGGACUUGUCCAAAGUCACAUAGCUAGUAAUGUCAGGUCAAAUUUGAUCUCAGAUCUUAAACUCUAAAUCCAGCUUUCUCUCCACUGCGCCACCUACCUGCCUAUCUGAUCAAUCUAGUCUUAUUUAAACAGUCUUUACUGUAAAUUGAGAUUAAAAAAAAAAAAAAACUAAUAGAAUCGAGGCAUUAGUAAAAUGUUAUAAUCUGUGACAAAAAAGUGUCAUACUUAAUAUAAGAUAUCUGAUAUAUUAAUUAUUGAACUCUUUAGAUUUAGUAUAUUAAAUGAAUACAUACUUCCUUGAAUC
rnacentral:lncRNA from 1 species